GUCUCGAUAGCUCAGUGGUAGAGCAUGCGAUUGCAGUACUGCAAUUCAUCGCAGGGUCCGGUGUUCGAACCACCGUCGUGACU